CUUGAACGCUGGCGGCAUGCCUUACACAUGCAAGUCGAACGGCAGCAUGAUCUAGCUUGCUAGAUUGAUGGCGAGUGGCGAACGGGUGAGUAAUACAUCGGAACGUGCCCUGUAGUGGGGGAUAACUAGUCGAAAGAUUAGCUAAUACCGCAUACGACCUGAGGGUGAAAGUGGGGGACCGCAAGGCCUCAUGCUAUAGGAGCGGCCGAAGUCUGAUUAGCUAGUUGGUGAGGGAAAGGCUCACCAAGGAGACGAUCAGUAGCUGGUCUGAGCGGACGAUCAGCCAAACUGGGACUGAGACACGGCCCAGACUCCUACGGGAGGCAGCAGUGGGGAAUUUUGGACAAUGGGGGCAACCCUGAUCCAGCAAUGCCGCGUGUGUGAAGAAGGCCUUCGGGUUGUAAAGCACUUUUGUCCGGAAAGAAAUCGCACUUACUAAUAUUAGGUGUGGAUGACGGUACCGGAAGAAUAAGGACCGGCUAACUACGUGCCAGCAGCCGCCGUAACAC
rnacentral:rRNA from 1 species